UGAAGAAUGUUAGGUACAUUGAGUAGAAACUUUUGAUUGCUAACUUAGACCGGGUCGUGAGAAAGCAAGUUCCUUCGAAUUGAUACCAUUUGAAUACAUAUGUUGCUGUAUGAUGUAAUAUUAUAUCCAUUCAAUUGUUGAUUGUAUUAGUCGGUCUGGGGCAUCUUAAAUAUUUAAGAAUGGCAACUGAUUCAGUUUGUUUCUUCAACUCCAAUGACUCUUUUUUCGGCAGAAUUCAUGUUGACUGAUUCAAUUGGUUCUUCAAUUUGUAAUCCAUGGUGACUCUCCUUAUAAUUCACGUUCUCUUUGUUCAUGUCAGAAACAACUUAUACGCACCUCAAAUAUUUCUCCAAGUACUUGUUACCCCACACCAAUACAAGUACAUGUUAGCUCUACCCGAUAAAACUUUAACAGUUAAAAAAAGAGCUAUGAAAAUAGGAAAAUAACAUUUCUCAUUAUCUUUGAAUUAUAGAUCAAACAAAAAAUUUGGGAUAAUACUCAAUUACCCCCUAGCCUAUACCAAAAAUACCUGAGACACACCUUGCAUUUGAUAAGGUCCUAUUACCUCCCAAUUUUUUUAAAAUUGUAUACCAUUUUCAUACCUACGUGGCAAUAGUAAUCAGAAAGGUUAAUCGGUCUAUUCAACACACAUUGGGCCCCACUUUUGUAGCUUUCUAAAGAGUUACUAUCAGCUCAAAAUGGACCUUUACACUUCCCAAAAUUCCAAAAAGCUAGCCAUUUACGUUUUCAAUAUUCACUUUACCAAAAACAAGAGAAAGGAACAAGCAAAGAAAGAAGGAAAGGUUAGAUUGGUUUCAGGAAAUCAACAAAGUGGUGCAUGUGCGGAUCGAUUUCAAUCGUGGAUGUGUGGGUCAAUUUCAUUCAGCAAGAAUCGUGGUUGACUUGAGUUCAAUGGAUGAAUUGCUGAGGUCAAAUCCUGGGAGUACUUGUAUGGUGAAGCUAGGAGAAGCUAAUGAAUCUGGGGGUAUGCAGGAUUCAAUUGCUUAUUGCAGUGGCCAAAGAUGGCAAUAAUCAAAUGUUUGAACUUGCUUGGGUUGUAGUUGAAAAUGAGAACACAAUCACUUGGAGGUUGUUUAUUUCUCUAUUGAAAGAAGACUUGGGAAUAGGAGAUGUAACAAGUUUCACCAUUAUGUCAGACAUGCUAAAGGUACUGGAUAUAGCUAUAAAGGAUUUGUUGCCAGCAUGUAAGGAAA